rnacentral:rRNA from 1 species
GACGAACGCUGGCGGCGUGCUUAACACAUGCAAGUCGAACGGAAAGGCCCUGCUUUUGUGGGGUGCUCGAGUGGCGAACGGGUGAGUAACACGUGAGUAACCUGCCCUUGACUUUGGGAUAACUUCAGGAAACUGGGGCUAAUACCGGAUAGGAGCUCCUGCUGCAUGGUGGGGGUUGGAAAGUUUCGGCGGUUGGGGAUGGACUCGCGGCUUAUCAGCUUGUUGGUGGGGUAGUGGCUUACCAAGGCUUUGACGGGUAGCCGGCCUGAGAGGGUGACCGGACACAUUGGGACUGAGAUACGGCCCAGAAUCCUACGGGAGGCAGCAGUGGGGAAUAUUGCAAAAUGGGCGGAAGCCUGAUGCAGCAACGCCGCGUGCGGGAUGACGGCCUUCGGGUUGUAAACCGCUUUCGCCUGUGACGAAGCGUGAGUGACGGUAAUGGGUAAAGAAGCACCGGCUAACUACGUG